UACGUAGGGUGCGAGCGUUGUCCGGAAUUAUUGGGCGUAAAGAGCUCGUAGGCGGUGUGUCGCGUCGGCCGUGAAAACCUGGGGCUCAACUCUGGGCGUGCGGUCGAUACGGGCAUCACUUGAGUUCGGCAGGGGAGACUGGAAUUCCUGGUGUAGCGGUGAAAUGCGCAGAUAUCAGGAGGAACACCGGUGCGAAGGCGGGUCUCUGGGCCGAUACUGACGCUGAGGAGCGAAAGCAUGGGUAGCGAACAGG
rnacentral:rRNA from 1 species